UAGGCAUGCAAAAAGGAAAUCCCAGUCGAGGGAGUCAAAGGCCUGCCAGAAAUCGAUCUUGAUGGCCAUCUUCUCCCCCCUGCUUCUGGGUUGGGUACCCGCCGAUGACAUGGAAGCUGUCACGCGAGAAGAUAGCGUGGCACUCGUCACGCUCGCAUACCAUGUCAGGCAGUGCCGACCAUUCGUCGCUAGUCACGUCGUA
rnacentral:misc_RNA from 1 species